AUCGGAGACCUCAAUGAAAUUCAAUCACUUCACGAAAAGGAAGGAGGUAACCCUCGUCCUCAACAAUAUAUGAUGGCUUUCCAGUCACCUAUUGAGGACUGCGAGUUACGCGACCUUGGUUUUGUUGGAGACCGAUUCACAUGGCAAAGGGGAAGAAUUCGGGAAAGGCUAGACAGGGGUUUGAUUAAUGAUGCAUGGUGAGUGUUAUUCCCUGAAGCGGCUUUGGAGAAUCUAAAAUAUAAUCAUAGCGAUCACCGACCCUUACUUGUGAAUACAGAGUACUACUCGUUACCAAACCAAGCUGGUCUGGGACAGCCAAGGAGGUUUGAAGCAAGGUGGCUAGUUUAA
rnacentral:rRNA from 1 species